rnacentral:rRNA from 1 species
GGAUCCAGACUUUGAUUAUGGCUCCAGGACGAACGCUGGCGGCGUGCCUAAUACAUGCAAGUCGAACGAAGCUUUCUUUCCACCGAAUGCUUGCAUUCACCGAAAGAAGCUUAGUGGCGAACGGGUGAGUAACACGUAGGCAACCUGCCCAAAAGAGGGGGAUAACACUUGGAAACAGGUGCUAAUACCGCAUAACCAUGAACACCGCAUGAUGUUCAUGUAAAAGACGGCUUUUGCUGUCGCUUUUGGAUGGGCCUGCGGCGUAUUAACUUGUUGGUGGGGUAACGGCCUACCAAGGUGAUGAUACGUAGCCGAACUGAGAGGUUGAUCGGCCACAUUGGGACUGAGACACGGCCCAAACUCCUACGGGAGGCAGCAGUAGGGAAUCUUCCACAAUGGACGAAAGUCUGAUGGAGCAACGCCGCGUGAAUGAAGAAGGCCUUCGGGUCGUAAAAUUCUGUUGUCAGAGAAGAACGUGCGUGAGAGUAACUGUUCACGUAUUGACGGUAUCUGACCAGAAAGCCACGGCUAACUACGUGCCAGCAGCCGCGGUAAUACGUAGGUGGCGAGCGUUGUCCGGAUUUAUUGGGCGUAAAGGGAACGCASGCGGUCUUUUAAGUCUGAUGUGAAAGCCUUCGGCUUAACCGAAGUAGUGCAUUGGAAACUGGAAGACUUGAGUGCAGAAGAGGAGAGUGGAACUCCAUGUGUAGCGGUGAAAUGCGUAGAUAUAUGGAGGAACACCAGUGGCGAAAGCGGCUCUCUGGUCUGUAACUGACGCUGAGGUUCGAAAGCGUGGGUAGCAAACAGGAUUAGAUACCCUGGUAGUCCACGCCGUAAACGAUGAGUGCUAAGUGUUGGAGGGUUUCCGCCCUUCAGUGCUGCAGCUAACGCAUUAAGCACUCCGCCUGGGGAGUACGGUCGCAAGACUGAAACUCAAAUGAAUUGACGGAAGGGCGAAUUC